rnacentral:lncRNA from 1 species
AGGUUGAUGUGAGUUCUCUUGUCUUUCCAGGAUGUUUUCAGCAACAAGAUACUGAUUCUUUUAUGGCUUGUUAAGAUAUGAACUGUCACAAGCUGUACCCCAAGGAGAGUAGUGCCUUGUGUUGUUUUGGUAAAGCUAGGAGCUAACUUUCAGUCCUUGCGGCAUGUGCAGACUGUUAUCUGAUCCCAAGAAAAUAACCCAAGGCAUGUACUAACCCUUGACUCCCAGCAUCAGAGACUGCUCCAGGACCUGCGGCCUGUUCCUCCACAGUUGCCUGCCCUGCUCUCCUCUGCUUCAGUCUCACCACUGAAGUCUGACUGCUGAGAAACCUAUGGCAAGGGGUGAUGAUGCAGUGAGCAGAGAUGCACACAGGAAGCGGUGGACACAGAUGUCUGUAAGAUGUUUGACACAGUGAGGCACAACAGGCUGAUAUGUAAGAUAAGUAGGUACAAAAUGUGCCUGGGAGACACCAAGGGAAAAAAUGUGACUGGCAUGCUGAAAAACUCAUCACGUGAAGACUUCAGAGCCCUGAACAGGCAGGAGUUUGAAUUUCCA